CCUACGGGAGGCAGCAGUGGGGAAUAUUGGACAAUGGGGGGAACCCUGAUCCAGCCAUGCCGCGUGUGUGAAGAAGGCCCUCGGGUUGUAAAGCACUUUCAGCGAGGAAGAACGCCUAGCGGUUAAUACCCGCUAGGAAAGACAUCACUCGCAGAAGAAGCACCGGCUAACUCCGUGCCAGCAGCCGCGGUAAUACGGAGGGUGCAAGCGUUAAUCGGAAUUACUGGGCGUAAAGCGCGCGUAGGUGGCUUGAUAAGCCGGUUGUGAAAGCCCUGGGCUCAACCUGGGAACGGCAUCCGGAACUGUCAAGCUAGAGUGCAGGAGAGGAAGGUAGAAUUCCCGGUGUAGCGGUGAAAUGCGUAGAGAUCGGGAGGAAUACCAGUGGCGAAGGCGGCCUUCUGGACUGACACUGACACUGAGGUGCGAAAGCGUGGGUAGCAAACAGGAUUAGAUACCCUGGUAGUCCACGCCGUAAACGAUGUCGACCAGCCGUUGGGUGCCUAGCGCACUUUGUGGCGAAGUUAACGCGAUAAGUCGACCGCCUGGGGAGUACGGCCGCAAGGUUAAAACUCAAAUGAAUUGACGGA
rnacentral:rRNA from 1 species